rnacentral:lncRNA from 1 species
CUGACACCUGGUGUGCAGCGUGUGCUCCACGGAUGCUGCCUUUACAUUUGUACUGGGUACAUUUCUUAUAUUUUGAGGAUUGAGAGGCAGCUUCAGGACCCUGGAAUGUCCAAACUGUGUUAUCAGAAGGCAUUUCUGAGUCACCAUCCAGUGGGAAAAAGAUCUCAAAAAGGGACCAAGAAUAACAAAGGAAAGCUAUCUUGCUGGGCUCCUUGGAUUAUUUCAAGUUAAAGUUGAGAAAGGAG